UCACAUCAGGCAAAGAAUAAAAAGCAGAUUGUCACACUUGCCUUCCAGCAAACUUUUGGAUUUUUUGCUAAAGAAAUUACUAAAAUGUUUUGCAACUAAUAUUCUGUUCAUUGACUAAUUCCAUAUGCAGUCAUUUCACACAAAGCAGAAAACWACUUUCAAUCACACGUUACCUUGUGAUAAGGAGACGAUCAUAACAAGGGCCAGAGUGAGCAGGAACAUCCAGCGGCCGGCAGAAAGAGUCCACAUCUUCAAACAUUUUAACCAUAGAUUGUAAAAGAAGAUGAGGGGAACGACUCCACCUCUACCAGUGCUCAGGAAUAAAGCCAAAAUAUCAGAGUGUGCCCAGCAGCGAUCAGGGGACMGAGCCACGGCAUCAAGGCCCCUCUAACACAUGAGCUGAACCAAUCGCAAAACUAUUUUCCCUUUCUGGAAGAUGCMGAGUCAGCCACAACCAUUGGACUCCUUCCAAGUUGCUGUGGAAACAGAUAAGGCCUGAAGAGCUUGUGACAGAGUGUUUGAAUCCUGAAUGUCUCUUCUGAAGUCGACUGAAUAACUCUGAAGGUUUGCAACACACUAACUCAGUCKACACCAYUCACGCCGUCCGUCUGUUCGGAGAAGAGCCGGAGAAAAGUCAGGUGAGUGGUGAUCUCAACUCUGUCCCCAUCAAGUGGGGAAAACA